UUAAGCAUAUCAAUAGCGGAGAAAGGAAACUAACAAGGAUUCCCCUAGUAACGGCGAGCGAAGUGGGAAGAGCUCGAGCCUGUAAUCUCCGGCAGCUGCUGCCGGCGAAUUGUGGCCGGGAGAAGGCGAAUUUAUCUUACCUUGCGGCGCCAAAGUUGACCUGGAAGGGCACGUCAAAGAGGGUGAGAGCCCCGUACGCGGCCUCGCGAGGUACGACAGUGUUUGUCUUCAGAGAGUCGGGUUGUUUGGGAAUGCAGCCCAAAGGUGGUGGUAAACUCCACUUGAAGCUAAAUACUGGCACGAGACCGAUAGCAAACAAGUACCGUGAGGGAAAGGUGAAAAGCACUUUGAAAAGAGAGUCAAAGAGACCGCGAACCCGUUAGGAGGGAAACGAAUGCAGCCAUGAAGGCUCCGUUCAGGUUCAGGGCGUCUUGUUUGGGCGCGUGGUCGCUAUGGACCCGUUAUCCGGCCAUGCGGCACUGCGCUCUGGAAGACACCUGCAAUCCCGUCUGGAGUCCGCCAACGGUGGCUUAUCCUGGGCGACAAGGGUCGUAGGGCAGGUGUCUUCCGUGGGCUUCGGUCCGGGAAGGACUUAUAGCCUUCGUCCCGGUGUACCGGGAUUGGCGGAGGAGAGUCGCGACAUUUCGCGCGCUUUAGCGCAGGCUUCGUAGGGGCCGGGCAGCUUCUGUCUUUGCGUGCUUCGCGGCGAGGCACUGCUCGCAGUGUCCGUUGACGGUAAGUGCGCUUGGUCGGGAGACGGGCCACGAUCUGCGCUGCAGUCGUUGGCGUGAGUAUGGUUCCAUCCGACCCGUCUG
rnacentral:rRNA from 2 species